rnacentral:lncRNA from 1 species
CAAAAUAACAUUUUAUCUUUUGAAAAAUUUAAAUUUUUUUUAUUUUUCAAAAUUUGAAAUCUUAUCCCAAAACCCCACUCUCCAACUCUAAACCCUAAAACCUAAACUCUAAACCCUAAACCCUACAUCCUACCAACCCUAAACCCUAAAACCUAAACUCUAAACCCUAAACUCUAAACUCUAAACCCUAAACCCUAAAUCCUAAACCCUAAAUCCUAAACCCCACUGCUUAACUCUAAACCCUAAACCCUAAACCCCACCCUUAAACUCUAAACCCUAAACCCUAAACCCUAAAUCCUAAACCCCACCCCUUAAUCUAAACCCAUUAAUUUACCAUUGGGGUAUAAGUGUAUAUUUAUCUCUUUUGAUAAAACAUUAAGUAUUAUUUUAGUCAUUUUUAUUCUUAGAGGCUAUAUUUGUGACAAAAACUUUUUUAGUGCUAUCCUAGUCAUUUUCUCUAAACUAGGGCAAAUCUCCAAAAUAGCACAUUUCUAAGUUUAUGUCACAAAAAUAGCCCUCAAAAACAAAAAAGACCAAAAUAACAUUUUAUCUUUUGAAAAAUUUAAAUUUUUUUUAUUUUUCAAAAUUUGAAAUCUUAUCCCAAAACCCCACUCUCCAACUCUAAACCCUAAAACCUAAACUCUAAACCCUAAACCCUAAAUCCUAAACCCCACUCCUUAACUCUAAACCCUAAACCCUAAACCCCACACUUAAACUCUAAACCCUAAACCCUAAACUCUAAACCCUAAAUCCUAAACCUCACCCCUUAACUCUAAACC